rnacentral:rRNA from 1 species
UACGGAGGGUGCAAGCAUUAAUCGGAAUUAUUGGGCGUAAAGGGCGCGUAGGCUGAUAUAUAAGUCAGAUGUGAAAUUUCGAAGCUCAACUUCGGAGCUGCAUUUGAAACUGUAAGUCUAGAGGAAAGGCGGAGAAAAUGGAAUUCCACGUGUAGCGGUGAAAUGCGUAGAUAUGUGGAAGAACACCUGUGGCGAAAGCGGUUUUCUAGCUUAAUCCUGACGCUGAGGCGCGAGAGCAAGGGGAGCAAACAGG